rnacentral:rRNA from 1 species
UUAAGUCUGAUGUGAAAGCCCCCGGCUCAACCGGGGAGGGUCAUUGGAAACUGGGAAACUUGAGUGCAGAAGAGGAAAGUGGAAUUCCAUGUGUAGCGGUGAAAUGCGCAGAUAUAUGGAGGAACACCAGUGGCGAAGGCGACUUUCUGGUCUGUAACUGACGCUGAUGUGCGAAAGCGUGGGGAUCAAACAGGAUUAGAUA